rnacentral:lncRNA from 1 species
GAGCUGUCAUCUUCUUCAUCUACUAUCUCUACUAAAAAUGAAGCUUUGGGUGUCAGCAGUUGUCACUGAAUUUUUAGAUGACCAGCAAUAAAUUUUGCUGCUUAAUUUUGGACUGCCAAGUGUAAGUUUUCCAAGUGUGUGGGUGUAGCAAGUAACAUCUCUGAACCCUGAAAAAAAGAAUCAAAAUCGAAUCCAUUCUCUAUGUCCUCACAAUGCCUAUGAAUUUCACAUAGUGGUAGUUUAAGCACCACACACAUUGUCCAUGCAAAAAGAGGUGGAAUAAAACUAAAUCUAAACUGAACUUUACAAAAUUUUAAAAUCAGAACCUUUGUAUAGCUGACAAUGGAUCAUCGUACACAACAAGAUCUAGUAAGUAAUGCAACAACACACACAUACAUAAGAGUCGAAAAAUUGAUUAGAAGGCAUUACCUACAUGGAUAGACUAAGGUCUCUGCAGUGCAAGGAUUAGAAAAUACGAGCAAGACGCCAAGGACAACGAUAGUCAAGGAUGGCAUCUCCUUCGUCCAUACGGUGGUCCAUGCUCUCUGCAAUCCCAGAAGAACAACAGACCUUUAAGGGUUGAAAUCAGGAGUAAAGAACAUAUCAAAAGGGUUUAGAAAUAGAAAGGAGAAAAUUCAAGAGUCGGUACAAAAACAAAUAGAUCUUUCUAUCAUAAACUUUGUACAUCCAAAUAGCUAAGAAGACCCUCUGCUCUACUACUCCUUCGAGAACGCCCGACAAUGAUGGAUUUAUAUAGAAUAAUGUACUUACCAAUGCAAUAUUUUUUAUGUCUGAAACCUAGCUGCCCAAAUAUAAAUAUUUAUAUUUCAGACCAAAUCAAGGAGAAGUGUAGUUACCAAUAUUGUUUUUUUCAUGUCAU